rnacentral:rRNA from 1 species
GGGGGGGGGGGGGGGGGGGGGGGGGGGGGGCGGGGCGGGGGGGGGGGGGGGGCGGUGGGGGGGUGGUCGGGGGGGGAGGGGGGGAGUACCGGGUGGGUGAGCUGCCCUUGAGUUUGGGGGAACUUGAGGGAACUGGGGCUAAUACCGGGUAGGGGCUCCUGCUGCAUGGUGGGGGUUUGAAAGUUUGGGCGGUGGGGGAUGGACUCGCGGCUUAUCAGCUUGUUGGUGAGGUAGUGGCUUACCAGGUGUUUGACGGGUAGCCGGCCUGAGAGGGUGGCCGGCCACAUGGGGACUGCGAUACGGCCCAGACGCCUACGGGAGGCAGCAGGGAGGAAUAUUGCACAAUGGGCGGAAGCCUGAGGAAGCCACGCCGCGUGCGGGAUGACGGCCUUCGGGUUGUAAACCGCUUUCGCCUGUGACGAAGCGUGAGUGACGGUACUGGGUGAAGAAGCACCGGCUAACUACGUG